rnacentral:rRNA from 1 species
UACGUAGGGGGCUAGCGUUGUCCGGAUUUAUUGGGCGUAAAGAGCUCGUAGGCGGUUUGUCGCGUCUGCUGUGAAAACUCGGGGCUCAACCCCGAGCUUGCAGUGGGUACGGGCAGACUAGAGUGCGGUAGGGGAGACUGGAAUUCCUGGUGUAGCGGUGGAAUGCGCAGAUAUCAGGAGGAACACCGGUGGCGAAGGCGGGUCUCUGGGCCGUAACUGACGCUGAGGAGCGAAAGCAUGGGGAGCGAACAGG